AGAGGCUAUGGCUCAGUGGUAGAGCAUCUGCUUGGUAUUUAGAAGGUCUCUGGUUCGAUCCCCAGCAUCUCUA
rnacentral:tRNA from 1 species